ensembl:lncRNA
GCAGGGCCCGGCAGUGCUCUGAGCAGGGGAGCAGCGGGAGCGCGGGCCUGACGUCGGGCGGCGAGCAUUUACCCACCCGGAGGGGCGGCCGCGCCUGGGCCGUGCCCGCCGGGAGAGCAGUGCCAGGCGGCCACGGAGGAGCCGCUGUCUGGCUGCGUGGGGGCCGGGCAGCUCGGGCAGUCCGGAGCCCGCCCCAGCGCAGGUUCUCUGCGACCAGGAGCAGGCGAGAGGGCCCUGCCGGUCCCCGCUGAUUCCCCGGGGCUGCUCCUCCCCGUCUCUUCCCAGGACGGGCGGUCCUCGCCUCUGGGGAUGCCCAUGCCUGAGGUCAGCUCAGGCCGCAGUCGGCCGGGUGCGAGGCAGCCCUGGCCCGCUCCUUCCGCCCGGCCAGCGGACCGGUCCUCAGGGCUGUGGAGCACGGAGCGCGCUUGGUAAGAAAAUUAACACCAAGCACUGGGAUGGGCCACGAGCUUCGGGAACUGAACCCGCGGCCUCCUUAGCGCGGCCACGAAUUUCCCUGCUCGGCCUCAACCGCGCCCAGCUCAGCCGCGCAGCCGCUGCUUCUCUCAGAUCAGGGAAAUCACCUGGACAGUCUGCACCGAGCACCGGAGCGCGCAGCGUCCGGGAAAGCCGCAGUUUAACCUUCGCGUCUUCGUUGUCUGGGGGCGCAGAGGCCCAAGGCCUCCUGCCUCCCGCAGGGCCACACACAGCACCCCGUUUCCAGCACAUGCGCCAGACUCCGAGAGGACGCCUGUCCCCGUGGACGCUGCCUCUUCUUGUUCUCUGAGGCCUGCCUCGGGGCCGCACACUCACUGGAACCACCAGGGAGGGAGCCAGGAGGACACAGGAGAGACCAGCCACGAGUGACCACGCGAGAGCUCGGAGCCGGUGCUCUAACAGAUGUCUCUGCACGGAAAGACGGUGUGAUGCCUCUUAAAUCGACACCCCCAGAUGCCACGGCAGUUUUCUGCCUGAAUGUUAAUACUUGCUGGUUUAUUAGGUAAAACUGGGCCAGAGACUUUGCUUCCAUUGUAACAUACUCUGCUGAGGGUGUGAGAAACCUGUUGCUCUCACCCUCUUCUAAGAGAAGCUAGAGAAAUCCACCAGAAAGAACUGGGCAAUUGUCAGUGAUCAUGUGGACCCAGGUCCUUCUGCAGCUGUGGUGUUGAGCCAAGGGAUUAACGCGACAGACUGCAGCUGUAUCCCCUUCGAGACAAGGGGCCCCGUGUGGCCUCGGCGUUGGCUCUCUUUGUGGCAGAUUUGUUACACUGGCCCUGCAGCCGAGCUAUCAGCUCAGGGAGCACGCAAGGUUUCUGAGUGGGGAAUGACCGGCACCGUUCACUGUGUCUUUCAUCGGUUUUUAUUUUCUGUGCAAUGUGAUGCCAUGACAACGUGGAGCCUUUCAGACCUGG